rnacentral:tRNA from 1 species
GGGGGUGUAGCUCAGAUGGGAGGGCGCCUGCUUUGCACGCAGGGGAUCGUCGGUUUGAGUCCGUUCGCCUCCA